UGCCCGGGUCAUUUGGCUAGUAUAAUCGAACCCGGGCCGCCCGCGUGGCAGGCGAGCAUUCUACCACUGAACCAC